rnacentral:rRNA from 1 species
AUACAGGGGGUGCGAGCGUUAAUCGGAAUUACUGGGCGUAAAGAGUACGUAGGCGGUUGCUUAAGUCAGAUGUGAAAGCCCCGGGCUCAACCUGGGAACUGCAUCUGAAACUGAGUGACUAGAGUUUAAGAGAGGGGAGUAGAAUUCCGGGUGUAGCGGUGAAAUGCGUAGAGAUCCGGAGGAAUACCAGUGGCGAAGGCGGCUCCCUGGCUUAAAACUGACGCUGAGGUACGAAAGCGUGGGUAGCAAACAGGAUUAGAAACCCCAGUAGUCC